UUGCUGCUGCUGCUGCUGUUUUUAUUGUUGAUGUUGCUGCUGUGCACGUGUCCUAGGGGUCCUAGGAGGCCAUUUUGGAUGAAGGCAGAGUGACCGGAAAGAGGCGCCACCAGAGGAGAGGCAAAUGAAGACAUGCCACCACCGCCAUAUUGGUUGAGGGCAGUUGGGCCUAGCCUGGCCAUUUUGUGGCACUGGUCUCCCUUGUGAGCAUUUCCCUGAGCGCUAAGCUCCUUCAGGAGCUGCCCAGGUAGACUGCCACUGGCACGGGAGGCUCCACCCGAGAGAAGAAGCGCCUAGGAGGCCAGGGUAGCCCCACAAGCUGGGCCUCCAUUUCUUAGCUGGGCCGCCUCCAGGAACCCAAGUGCUGGCGCCUGCAACUUUGCCUGCGACUGCUGGGAUUGCUCUGACAAGAUCCAUUGACACUAGUUUUGGCGUCACCAAAGGAAUCAGGGAGAUGUGCUUCAAUUCCCCUCGCAGAUAGUAUUUAACCCAUCACAGCAUCUCUCAAAGCACCCUGGGAACUGUAGUUUCCUAUGGGGGGAGAGAAUAUUCUGCACAACCUUUCCCAAGGGAACUCUGGGAGUUAUAACUCUGAGAGGGUCUCUUUGGGAAACAGAACAAACUACAGUUCCCACGAUGUUCCCCAAAGCACCAUGGGAACUAUUGCUUGCUCUGGGUGUUGAGGGUUGCGAAUCCCUUGACAGAUCUAGUUCCCAAGCCCAUUUCUUUUCCUAGGGAACUCUGGGAACUGUAGCUCAUGGGAGGAACAUCACUUGGUGUCCUGAAUUCUGGGAACUGUAGCUUGCUCAGGGCGCCUGAUUCCUUCUCCUUCUAGGCUACCGGAAUGGGCUGGAACCGCCAAGUGUCACCUUGGCCUGCGACUUUGAAGGCACCGCCUGCAGCUGGGAGGACGUCAGCAUGUCUGGGUACUGGUGGUGCCCAGGGUGGGGCAGAGGCUGGGUGUGCGGCCCCGACUCCCCCUUCAACCACAUUCUGGGCACCGACCAGGGUAAACUUGCUUCAUUUGAAAGGCAGAGAAGCAUUGCUUAGCAGGUAGAGCACCCCUUUGACCUGGCGCCCCCCAACCAGGCUGGUACAUGAGCACCUCGGAGCAGCGAACCAAGCCGCCUGACUCCGCUCCCUGACCAUGAGUGACGCAGCCACAGCCUGUGAACUCCGCACCUGGUACAGUAUGGCUGAGAAAGGUAAGCUUGGGGCACUGGUCGGAAAACCAACAGGAGCAGAGCCAUGUACUUGGCCUUUUUCCCUGUGUGGAGGAAAUGCCACCAGGCACAGUUGUCGUAAUUCCGUACAUUUCUAAGCUGCAGGACAUAUCGUGGUGCUAUCAUAUAAUUAUUAUUUAUUGAUUUCCAGACCACUGACCCGCCUGGUAGGGCCAGCAUAAUGAAAUACCAUUCUUAUCAUGAAAUUUACUGAUGCCCUGCUUCCCGUCCCCCUUUGGGAUUCCUGGCAGCUGACUGAUAAAAAUGAGAGCAGUUGAGAUGAGAUGUCAUUCUGCAAUUCUCGCAGGGGUCAGGCUAGAUGACCCCCGGGUCCCAUCUCCUCUGUUUAUAUAACUAUGGUUCCCACCUGCAGGGGCCAGGCUAGAUGACGCCUGGUUCCUCACCCCUCCGCCCUUCCUGUGCAGGACUCAACGGAAGCUUCCCUGUGGAGCUGAGCCACGGCAACCACAUUGUCCCCUGUGGCGAAGCCCUGCCUCAUCCUCAGGCACCUGGCACCCCCUGCUGGCCUACACCGGAAGAGUCCACAGUGCUUUCCAGUUAGGUCUUGGGCUCCUCGCCCUCCCCGGCCGGCUCCUUAUCUGGAGCAUGUCAAGAGCGCAGGUGACCUUCUCCUCGGUGGCGAGUGUGGCACUGGACAACGUGUAGUUCAUGAACUGUGGCCCCCAAAGUAAAGCUUUAUUUUCCGCCUCCCCAAAACCUGGCCAACCAGAUAGAUUGCUUGGAGGCAACUCAUUAACCGUCCCAACAUUUCCAAGUCCCUGGAGCUGCACCCCAGGCAAGCCGUGCCUGCCAAGCAGCUGCGUGGCCCCUGCCCGCACCGAGGACUGUGGCGACAGUGGAGAUGAACGGGGUUGCGGUGACCGGUCAAGGGGGCAUUCGAGGCCAGGGGAACAUUGGCACCACCGGAAGGGAGGGGGUUACCAGGAAACCUCCCAACCAGGCCAAAGCAUUUGAGGAGGGUGCAGAGUAUGCUGGCUGAAAUGGGGCUUACCCUGGGGAAAAUCCUGAGCGGAAGUUGCAAGUUGGUGGCCACCACUGCCUCUUGUGGCAGGGAGUUCCAUAAUGUGCGCUUUGUAAAGAAGUACUUCCUUUCUUUGAUGUGUCCUGAAUCUUCCAGCGUCCAGCUCCAUGAGUUCUACCAUUAUGAGAGGGAGAAAAACUUUCCUCCAUCCACAUUCUCCAGGCCAUGUCUCAUUGGCCUGGAGAAAUCACAUCUUUGCACAAUUUAAUGCACAAACAGUCAAAGAACAAA